rnacentral:rRNA from 1 species
GAUGAAACGCUGGCGGCGUGCCUAAUUACAUGCAAGUAGAACGCUGAAGAGAGGAGCUUGCUCUUCUUGGAUGAGUUGCGAACGGGUGAGUAAACGCGUAGGUAACCUGCCUUGUAGCGGGGGAUAACUAUUGGAAACGAUAGCUAAUACCGCAUAACAAUGGAUGACACAUGUCAUUUAUUUGUAAAGGGGCGAAUUAGCUCCACCUACAAGAUGGACCUGCGUUGUAUUAGCUAGUAGGUGAGGUAAUGGCUCACCUAGGCGACGAUACAUAGCCGACCUGAGAGGGUGAUCGGCCACACUGGGACUGAGACACGGCCCAGACUCCUACGGGAGGCAGCAGUAGGGAAUCUUCGGCAAUGGGGCAACCCUGACCGAGCAACGCCGCGUGAGUGAAGAAGGUUUUCGGAUCGUAAAGCUCUGUUGUAAGUCAAGAACGGGUGUGAGAGUGGAAAGCUCAACAACUGUGACGGUAGCUUACCAGAAAGGGACGGCUAAC